AUUGAGCGCUGGCGGCAUGCUUUACACAUGCAAGUCGAACGGUAACAGGUUAAGCUGACGAGUGGCGAACGGGUGAGUAAUGCAUCGGAACGUGCCCGGUCGUGGGGGAUAACGCAGCGAAAGCUGCGCUAAUACCGCAUACGAUCUGAGGAUGAAAGCGGGGGACCGUAAGGCCUCGCGCGAUCGGAGCGGCCGAUGUCAGAUUAGGUAGUUGGUGGGGUAAAGGCCCACCAAGCCGACGAUCUGUAGCUGGUCUGAGAGGACGACCAGCCACACUGGGACUGAGACACGGCCCAGACUCCUACGGGAGGCAGCAGUGGGGAAUUUUGGACAAGGGGCGAAAGCCUGAUCCAGCAAUGCCGCGUGCAGGAAGAAGGCCUUCGGGUUGUAAACUGCUUUUGUACGGAGCGAAAAGGUCCUUUCUAAUACAAGGGGCUCAUGACGGUACCGUAAGAAUAAGCACCGGCUAACUACGUGCCAGCAGCCGCGGUAA
rnacentral:rRNA from 1 species